rnacentral:rRNA from 1 species
UACGAACGCUGGCGGCGUGCUUAACACAUGCAAGUCGAACGGUGAAGCCCUUCGGGGUGGAUCAGUGGCGAACGGGUGAGUAACACGUGAUCAACCUGCCCCUGGCUCUGGGACAACCACUGGAAACGGUGGCUAAUACCGGAUACGACCCGCCUCGGCAUCGAGUGUGGGUGGAAAGUUUUUCGGCUGGGGAUGGGCUCGCGGCCUAUCAGCUUGUUGGUGAGGUGAAGGCUCACCAAGGCGACGACGGGUAGCCGGCCUGAGAGGGCGACCGGCCACACUGGGACUGAGACACGGACCAGAAUCCUACGGGAGGCAGCAGUGGGGAAUAUUGCACAAUGGGCGAAAGCCUGAUGCAGCGACGCCGCGUGAGGGAUGACGGCCUUCGGGUUGUAAACCUCUUUCAGCUACGAAGAAGCGAAAGUGACGGUAGGAGCAGAAGAAGCACCGGCUAACUACGUG